rnacentral:rRNA from 1 species
GUCCUCUUGUAUUUAUAUGAGGUCUGACCUGCCCAGUGAAUAUUUAACGGCCGCGGUAUUUUGACCGUGCAAAGGUAGCAUAAUCAUUAGCCUUUUAAUAGAAGGCUGGAAUGAAAGGUUCAACGAAUCAUUAGCUGUCUCAUUUAUAUAAUUUAAAACUUAAUUUUUAAGUUAAAAAGCUUAAAUUUUGUUGUAGGACGAGAAGACCCUAUAGAGCUUUACAUUUUAUUUUUUCAUAUUUUAUUGAUUUAUAAAUUUAUAUUAAAAUCUUAAUGUUUUGUUGGGGUGAUAAAAUUAUAUAAUAAACUUUUUUGUUUAAUAAACAAUUAUUUUUGAAUAAAUGAUCCAUUAUUAUUGAUUAAUAGAUUAAGUUACCUUAGGGAUAACAGCGUAAUCUUCUUUUGGAGUUCUAAUUUAUAAGAAGGCUUGCGACCUCGAUGUUGGAUUAAGAUAAUAAUUUGGUGUAGUAGUUAAAUUAAUAGGUCUGUUCGACCUUUAAAAUCUU